rnacentral:rRNA from 1 species
CUACGGGUUGCACCAGUGAGGAAUAUUGCACAAUGGAGGAAACUCUGAUGCAGCAACGCCGCGUGGAGGAUGACGCAUUUCGGUGUGUAAACUCCUUUUAUGAGUCAAGAAAAUGACGGUAGCUCAUGAAUAAGCACCGGCUAACUCCGUGCCAGCAGCCGCGGUAAUACGGAGGGUGCAAGCGUUACUCGGAAUCACUGGGCGUAAAGGACGCGUAGGCGGGAUAUCAAGUCAGGUGUGAAAUCCUACAGCUUAACUGUAGAACUGCACUUGAAACUUCUAAUCUAGAGUAUGGGAGGGGGAGAUGGAAUUAGUGGUGUAGGGGUAAAAUCCGUAGAUAUCACUAGGAAUACCUAAAGCGAAGGCGAUCUCCUGGAACAUUACUGACGCUAAGGCGUGAAAGCGUGGGGAGCAAACAGGAUUAGAUACCCGAGUAGUC